rnacentral:lncRNA from 1 species
GCUCUUGAGAAAAAACUUGCAUCUUGGGCAAUGGGAAUCUUAGGACAAACUGACACCUCUACCACUAUCACAACGCAAGCGUUGGCAAGACUACGAGGGAUACAGUGGAAUGAUGGUGAUGUGAUAGCUACCUACGACUUUGAGAACCUCUAUCCCUCUCUGGAAAUCGAACCAGCCUGUUUAUCUCUAUACCAUUUCCUCCUUGUUAUCACUGCAGAGUUUCAUGUAGAAGCUUCUCUACUCAGGGACAUAGCCUAUCUCAUUACACACAAGUCUUAUUUCACCUUUGACAUGAGUUUUUA